rnacentral:rRNA from 1 species
GACGAACGCUGGCGGCGUGCCUAAUACAUGCAAGUAGAACGCACAGUUUAUACCGUAGCUUGCUACACCAUAGACUGUGAGUUGCGAACGGGUGAGUAACGCGUAGGUAACCUGCCUGGUAGCGGGGGAUAACUAUUGGAAACGAUAGCUAAUACCGCAUAAUAUUAAUUAUUGCAUGAUAAUUAAUUGAAAGGUGCAAUUGCACCACUACCAGAUGGACCUGCGUUGUAUUAGCUAGUAGGUGAGGUAACGGCUCACCUAGGCGACGAUACAUAGCCGACCUGAGAGGGGGAUCGGCCACACUGGGACUGAGACACGGCCCAGACUCCUACGGGAGGCAGCAGUAGGGAAUCUUCGGAAAUGGACGAAAGUCUGACCGAGCAACGCCGCGUGAGUGAAGAAGGUUUUCGGAUCGUAAAGCUCUGUUGUAAGAGAAGAACGGGUGUGAGAGUGGAAAGUUCACACUGUGACGGUAGCUUACCAGAAAGGGACGGCUAACUACGUG